AUUGAACGCUGGCGGCAGGCUUAACACAUGCAAGUCGAGCGAGCGGCGGACGGGUGAGUAAUGUCUGGGAAACUGCCUGAUGGAGGGGGAUAACUACUGGAAACGGUAGCUAAUACCGCAUACCAUCAGCUGUGCCCAGAUGGGAUUAGCUAGUAGGUGGGGUAAUGGCUAACCAAGGCGACGACCCCUAGCUGGUCUGAGAGGAGGACCAGCCACACUGAAACAGAGACACGGUCCAGCCACCUACGCGAGGCAGCAGUGGGGAAGAGUGCACAAUGAGAGCAAGCCUGAUGCAGCCAUGCCGCUUGUGUGAAGAAGGCCUUCGGGUUGUAAAGCACUUUCAGCGAGAAGGCGUUACUCACAGAAGAAGCACCGGCUAACUCCGUGCCAGCCGCCGCGGUAAUUC
rnacentral:rRNA from 1 species